UAGAGUAUGGUGUAAUGUGGUAGCACGGAGAUUUUUGAGUUCUCAGGUGAAGGUUCAAGUCCUACGACUCUAG
rnacentral:tRNA from 1 species